rnacentral:rRNA from 1 species
AACGAACGCUGGCGGCAUGCCUAACACAUGCAAGUCGAACGAGACCUUCGGGUCUAGUGGCGCACGGGUGCGUAACGCGUGGGAACCUGCCCUUAGGUUCGGAAUAACUCCCCGAAAGGGGUGCUAAUACCGGAUAAUGUCUUCGGACCAAAGAUUUAUCGCCUUUGGAUGGGCCCGCGUUGGAUUAGCUAGUUGGUAGGGUAGAAGCCUACCAAGGCGACGAUCCAUAGCUGGUCUGAGAGGAUGAUCAGCCACACUGGGACUGAGACACGGCCCAGACUCCUACGGGAGGCAGCAGUGGGGAAUAUUGGACAAUGGGCGAAAGCCUGAUCCAGCAAUGCCGCGUGAGUGAUGAAGGCCUUAGGGUUGUAAAGCUCUUUUACCCGGGAUGAUAAUGACAGUACCGGGAGAAUAAGCUCCGGCUAACUCCGU